UACGUAGGGUGCGAGCGUUGUCCGGAAUUAUUGGGCGUAAAGAGCUCGUAGGCGGCUUGUCGCGUCUGUUGUGAAAGCCCGGGGCUUAACCCCGGGUCUGCAGUGGAUACGGGCAGGCUAGAGGCAGGUAGGGGAGAACGGAAUUCCCGGUGUAGCGGUGAAAUGCGCAGAUAUCGGGAGGAACACCGGUGGCGAAGGCGGUUCUCUGGGCCUGUACUGACGCUGAGGAGCGAAAGCGUGGGGAGCGAACAGG
rnacentral:rRNA from 1 species